GCGACCCCAGGUCAGGCGGGGCUACCCGUUGAGUUUAAGCAUAUCA
rnacentral:rRNA from 1 species